rnacentral:rRNA from 1 species
ACGUAGGAGGCAAGCGUUAUCCGGAGUUACUGGGCGUAAAGCGUGCGUAGGCGGGAAUGUAAGUGGGUGGUGAAAGCGCCCGGCUAAACCGGGCGAGGACCAAUCAGACUGCAUUUCUAGAGGCGGAUAGAGGGGUGCGGAAUUCCGGGUGUAGCGGUGAAAUGUGUAGAGAUCCGGAGGAACACCAGUGGUGCAAACGGCGCCCUGGGUCCGAACUGACGCUGAGGCACGAAAGCGUGGGGAGCGAACGGGAUUAGAGACCCCGGUAGUCCACGCCGUAAACGAUGUCAACUAGGUGUCCACCUGGCUACGGUCAGGGGGGUGCCGACGCUAACGCAAUAAGUUGACCGCCUGGGGAGUACGGUCGCAAGGCUA